CGUGGGGAACCUGCCCCAUAGUCUGGGAUACCACUUGGAAACAGGUGCUAAUACCGGAUAAGAAAGCGGAUCGCAUGAUCAGCUUUUAAAAGGCGGCGUAAGCUGUCGCUAUGGGAUGGCCCCGCGGUGCAUUAGCUAGUUGGUAAGGUAAAGGCUUACCAAGGCGAUGAUGCAUAGCCGAGUUGAGAGACUGAUCGGCCACAUUGGGACUGAGACACGGCCCAAACUCCUACGGGAGGCAGCAGAC
rnacentral:rRNA from 1 species